UUGUAUGGAAUAAAAUCACUUUCAAAAAUAAUCGCACGUAAUUCAAAACAUUUGUGUGUAAUUUUAAUAUACUCGUGCGUAAUUUAAAACUAUUGUACGUAAUUCUGUUUUUUGUCAGAGUUGGAUUCCAAAAUCUACGGCCACGACAGUUUACAGAUACGCGAGUUUGUGUGUUUUUUAGAGUACAACUCUAAAAUGUACGACUGUGACAGUUUACAGACACGGCGCUUUUUUUCACAAUAGCUCUGUUACACACACGACAUGCGAAUUACGACAACGAAAUGCAGUGUGCGAAACGGCUGUCAAAAAUACGUCAUUAAGGUCACAGGCAUUACUAUCCGAGGGAAGAUGAAUCGAUUCAACGAAGUGCGCAUGCGCCUUACCAAAGUUUUAAACCACUGGCGCCGAACUGGCGGAUCAACAGCCAAGCGCUCACACCUCGUCUCAGGAAACUUGUGUUGGGGAGGAUUCAAUAUCUGUUGAGGCUCAUGUGAAUGUGUUAUAAAGUGAAACACAUCCAGACACAUGGCUGUCAAAGAGCACACGACAGGAACAUUCUCCUGGAGACGCUGAGAAAGCAUUGAAGGAAUCUCUGGAGGAGGAUGUACUCAAAAAAUACACAUACUUCAGGACACCUGCUGGAGUGGACCCGGCUACACCUUUCCUACCGUACACCUGAUGGAUACUGACUGUAAAAUGUCAAUCAUAGUUCGAGGGCUCAGUGUGGUGACAGAAGAUGGAACAGAUGAGUGUCAGUGCACCAGCCUUGAUGAAGCCUUCAUAACAGCCUUCUGGAUGUAUUCUGCUUUCAACAUUGCAUAUCCACCACACAUGAGAAAGACACUGACUUUCCUUCAGAGGGACAUUGUCAACAUUAGAAGAUGGAGACAAGCACUGCCAGUAACUUUACUCUGAAUGAUUAGCCUCUUGUAUUAGAUCAUCAUGCUUUGACUUAACCAUUGCACAAAGUGCACUCGAAGGACAUUCACUCUUUUGAAGUUGACCCAACAUGUUGGAGUUGUACAUGCACAUGAACCAAAUAGCUUACUCUAUUCUUUUUUCUAUUCUAUCUGUUUUCUUUUUAUUUAUUAUAUUAUUUAAAAGCCCUUGCUACGUGUAAUGUGUUAAGCUAACUGAGACUUGUUAAAGCUCUUAUAUAUCAUUGCUCUUUUUGUUUUUUUUGAUGGCUUCAACUCUGUCCUCAUCUGUAAGUCGAUUUGAAUAAAAGCGUCUGCUAAAUGAAUAAAUGUAAAUGUAAAUAUUAGUAUAACCUGUGGUAUAGAUGAGUGCCAGUCAACUUUUUUCUGAUUCCAUUCUUUUAGAAACCAUGCACAGGAAGCAUAUGUGCUUUUGUUACUCAGUGAAUAGUCAGUAGUACAGUUGUAUUAUAAGUUACUGUAUCUUCAGUCUGGACUCCACUGAUGGUGAGAGUGAAAUCACUGUUAGAUCCACUGCCACUGAAUCUAGAAGGAGUUCCAGUGUAACGGUUCGUUGCAUCAUAUAUGAGGAGUUUAGGAGCUUCUCCAGGUUUCUGUAAGUACCAGGCUAAGUCAUCACCAUUACACACUCUACUGCUGGUUUUACAGUUUAUUCUGACGUCUUGUCCUUGAGCUGAAAAUUAUUACCUAAAUUAUUAUGGUAAUAUAAUGGAGAAGGGUCUGGCUGCAGACUUGCAGUCUCAGACUCUUGCGCUUCUUUUUUUUUAUUGGAUAUUUUAUUCUACUUAUUGGUUACUUCUUGUUUGAAUCUCUCAACAUUUGUUUUUCUCUCGUGUAGGUAUGGUUGACUGGAAGUCUGUCAGUCCAGAUGUGAGGAAGACACAGAGUGGAGCUGGAGCUCAGCAGAUGUGUGAUGCUGUAGAUACUGUGGUCUUGGAAAGAAGGGAUCUUCACAGCUUUCUAUUCAGACAAAGAGUUUGCUGGAUUCUGUUCUAUGGACUGCUACUACAGAAUGAAUGAAUGAAUGAGUGGUCUAUCUAUCUAUCUAUCUAUCUAUCUAUCUAUCUAUCUAUCUAUCUAUCUAUCUAUCUAUCUUUUUACUUGAAUUGGUGAAUGAAACUGAAAGCUAAAUAAAUGUUUUAGUGGAUAAA